GUCGCCUACGGGGGGCAGCAGUGGGGAAUAUUGCACAAUGGGGGAAACCCUGAUGCAGCAACGCCGCGUGAAGGAAGACGGUUUUCGGAUUGUAAACUUCUGUUCUUAGUGAAGAAGAAUGACGGUAGCUAAGGAGCAAGCCACGGCUAACUACGUGCCAGCAGCCGCGGUAAUACGGAGGAUGCGAGCGUUAUCCGGAUUUAUUGGGUUUAAAGGGUGCGUAGGCGGGCUUUUAAGUCAGCGGUAAAAAUUCGGGGCUCAACCCCGUCCGGCCGUUGAAACUGGGGGCCUUG
rnacentral:rRNA from 1 species